UACGGAGGGUGCGAGCGUUGUCCGGAAUUACUGGGCGUAAAGAGCUCGUAGGUGGUUUGUCGCGUUGUUCGUGAAAACUCACAGCUUAACUGUGGGCGUGCGGGCGAUACGGGCAGACUUGAGUACUGCAGGGGAGACUGGAAUUCCUGGUGUAACGGUGGAAUGCGCAGAUAUCAGGAGGAACACCGGUGGCGAAGGCGGGUCUCUGGGCAGUAACUGACGCUGAGGAGCGAAAGCGUGGGGAGCGAACAGG
rnacentral:rRNA from 1 species